rnacentral:lncRNA from 1 species
AAAACUUUUACAGUUCCCUUCUGCAUUUAUGUCAUAUAGUCUAGUGAAGCCAAAGAACUAACAUGAUUAUACUAAUAAUCAUCAAACUGAUAAUUCUGCAGCAUUUUUCAGAAUCCAGUGAUGUUACACAGACACCAGUAUUAUGGGUUUCACAGGGUGAAUCUGCACAAAUGAACUGCAGUCAUACUAUGGGUGCAGGCUAUAACUACAUGUAUUGGUUUCAACAACGAAAGGGAGAAACAAUGAGACUCAUUGCUUUCACAAUGCUAGGCAGCAAGCCAGACUUUGGUGAAUUUUCUGUUGAUAAAUACUCAGCUGAAAAGACUGUAGCUGAUAAAGGGUCUUUCACAGUGAAGAAGCUGCAGCCCGAUGACAGUGGUGUGUAUUUCUGUGCAGUGAGUAAACACAGUGACACAGACCUACUGUGCUGCUGUACAAAAACCUAAAAUGUUCAUGCUCCCUAAACACAGAACAGGUGCUAUGACAGAUGUUAAUAAUGACAAUGAAAUUUUGCAGUUUGUUUGCAGCGCCGCCAUAUAAUGAUUGUGACCACCAGCUUCCAAAUUAUAUAAUAAAUAAAUAAAUAAAUACCCAAAUUAAAUAAAUAAAUAAUAUCAGUUCAUUAAUAUUAUGACAAAAUUACCUGGUUGUUACUCCUCCUGCAAGAGUUGAUGGAGGUUGCAUGAUGAAAACAGUUUUAAACAAAGCCAUAGCAAAAGCUGUUGCAACACUGAACAACACAAUGGUUGAGCCACAAUAGAACAUGAAUCCAGCAGAUGGUGCUAAAGGCUAACAUUUACAGUAUAUUACAGGAGAAGUAGCUCACAUUACUCGUUUUUUUGUGCCUCGUAAAUUCUCUUUCAGUACAAACAUUUUAUUUUAUUUUAUUUUAUUAACUUCUCUCCCUGUUUAAACCAUUAACAAAAUGAAC